rnacentral:lncRNA from 1 species
AAAUCAAUUGAAAGAUAGGGGGAGUCCCUGAGGUCACUGUUCACGCUCCUGUUUGAGAACUUGGAAAUGGUCAAGAUCCAUACCCCUAAACCAUAUAUACUCAUGUAUGGGACAAUAUAACAAAUCAAAUGAAAUAUAAGGGAAGUCCCUGUGGUCAUCCCAACCCUCCUGUUUGAGAACUUGGAAACGGUCGAGAUCCCCACACCAAAACAAUAUAUAUUCAUGUAUGGAUCAAUAUAACUAAUUAAAUGAAAUAUAGGGGGAGUGCCUUGGGUCACCCUACCCUUCCUGUUUGAGAACUUGGAAACCAAUGAGAUCCCCACCCCUAAACCAUAUAUAUUCAUGUAUGGGACAAUAUAACAAAUAAAAUGAAAUGUAGGGGAAGUCCCUAGGGUCACCCUACCCCCAGUGGCGGAUCCAGAAAUAUUCAUAAAUGGGGCCCACUGACUGACCUAAGAGGGGCCCGCUCCAGUCAUGCUUCAGUGAUUACCUAUAUAAGCAACCAAAUUUUUUCCCCAAAAGGGGGGGGGGCGGGUCCCCUGCCCCCUAAAUCCUCUGCCUACCCUUACCUGUUUGAGAACUUGAAAACCGUUGAGAUCCCUACCCCUAAAUUCAUUUGUAUGGGACAAAAUAACAAAUCAUUUACAUUUACUAUGGGCAAGUCAGUCAGACCUCAUCUUUGAUCCCUGUUGUAGUGAACAUUUGUCUGAUUCGUGUCUCAUAACUUUUGUACUAUAGAACACACACUCAGUUUUCUUUCCAGGGAAACCAGUCCAUUCAUACUAUUACAUGUUCAUACUACGUCAAAUUGAACUUCUAGCAGUCAAAUAAAACCAAGGUUAACUACCAAGUAGAACAACUGCAAUCAUUGGGAACUUGUACCACUGCAGACUCACCAUAAAAAAUAUACAUUGAUAUAUGCAUAUCUUUUGAAACCAUGAUAACAUAUAUAAAUUAUUUGCCUUAAUAAAUAAAUCAUUAGAUAAACAUGAAUGUACUAUAUAUGAAUAU